CUUGGAUCAAAUCAACCUGGGCAUAUUCCUCUCUCUUUCCUCAUCCUCAUCCGAGUGGCUCUCUCCGUGUGCUGUGGCGGCGCCUGGCUCUGCUCGGACGGACUCCACCGAAGGCGCUCGGCUCCCCUCGGGCUCCACCUGCGACGGCCGGCCCUCUGCCUGCACCGACGGUGCCCGGCCCCCUCGGCAUCCACCAGCGGUGCUCGGCUCCAAGGUUGCAAAUGUUCAACACAUGUGGCCGCAAUGUCCACAGGUUUCAAAUGUCCCAACUGGACCUAGCCCUCACGGACGGAAGUGCCCAGGACCUGUCAAUAUACUAGUGUAUUGCGCCUGCGCGUAUUCCAGCAUAGGUUUCACGAAGGAACGAUUGAUAUUCCGGUCGUGUAUGUUUGUCAAAAUAAUCAUUUCUAGAUAGUGGUAGCAAACUGAAUUUCCUUUGUCAUGCAGUUGUAAUCUUGAACAUGGCUGAAUUAUGAAUGGUGGUAGCAAACUGUUUCAUGGCAUCAAACUGAAUUUCUAAAAUUUUGGAUGGUGCUAGCAAAUUGGAUGGUGCUAGCAAAUAGAAUGUUAUGGCA